UACAGAGGGGGCAAGCGUUUGUUCGGAAUUACUGGGCGUAAAGGGCGCGUAGGCGGCCUUCUAAGUCGAACGUGAAAUCCCCGGGCUCAACCCGGGAACUGCGUCCGAUACUGGAAGGCUUGAAUCCGGGAGAGGGAUGCGGAAUUCCAGGUGUAGCGGUGAAAUGCGCAGAUAUCGGGAGGAACACCAAUUGCGAAGGCAGCUCGCUGGGACGUCACUGACGCUGAGACGCGAAAGCGUGGGGAGCAAACAGG
rnacentral:rRNA from 1 species